UCCGGGGGGAGCAAGCGUUGUUCGGAUUUACUGGGCGUAAAGGGCGCGUAGGCGGCCACCGCAAGUCGACUGUGAAAUCUCCGGGCUUAACCCGGAAAGGUCAGCCGAUACUGCGGGGCUAGAGUGCAGAAGGGGCAACUGGAAUUCUCGGUGUAGCGGUGAAAUGCGUAGAUAUCGAGAGGAACACCCAGGGGGAAACCAGUCGACUGGGCAUCUACUGACGCUGAGGUGCGAGAGCGUGGGGAGCGAACCGG
rnacentral:rRNA from 1 species